rnacentral:rRNA from 1 species
AACGAACGCUGGCGGCAUGCCUAACACAUGCAAGUCGAACGAGUGCCUUCGGGUGCUAGUGGCGCACGGGUGCGUAACGCGUGGGAAUCUGCCCUUUGGUUCGGAAUAACAGUUGGAAACGACUGCUAAUACCGGAUGAUGACGAAAGUCCAAAGAUUUAUCGCCAGAGGAUGAGCCCGCGUAGGAUUAGCUAGUUGGUGUGGUAAAGGCGCACCAAGGCGACGAUCCUUAGCUGGUCUGAGAGGAUGAUCAGCCACACUGGGACUGAGACACGGCCCAGACUCCUACGGGAGGCAGCAGUGGGGAAUAUUGGACAAUGGGCGAAAGCCUGAUCCAGCAAUGCCGCGUGAGUGAUGAAGGCCUUAGGGUUGUAAAGCUCUUUUACCCGGGAUGAUAAUGACAGUACCGGGAGAAUAAGCUCCGGCUAACUCCGUGCCAGCAGCCGCGGUAAUACGGAGGGAGCUAGCGUUGUUCGGAAUUACUGGGCGUAAAGCGCACGUAGGCGGCUUUGUAAGUUAGAGGUGAAAGCCUGGAGCUCAACUCCAGAACUGCCUUUAAGACUGCAUCGCUUGAAUCCAGGAGAGGUGAGUGGAAUUCCGAGUGUAGAGGUGAAAUUCGUAGAUAUUCGGAAGAACACCAGUGGCGAAGGCGGCUCACUGGACUGGUAUUGACGCUGAGGUGCGAAAGCGUGGGGAGCAAACAGG